rnacentral:misc_RNA from 1 species
UGGCUCUGGCAUCGAUGAAGAACGCAGCGAAAUGCGAUAAGUAAUGUGAAUUGCAGAAUUCAGUGAAUCAUCGAAUCUUUGAACGCACAUUGCGCCCGCCAGCAUUCUGGCGGGCAUGCCUGUUCGAGCGUCAUUUCAACCCUCGAGCCCGUCUUUACGGACGGGAGCUCGGCGUUGGGGCCUGGCGGAAACGCCAUCCCCGAAAUUCAGUGGCGGCCCGUUGCGGCGACCUCUGCGUAGUAACUCACCUCGCACCGGGAAAAGCAGCGCGGCCACGCCGUAAAACCCCCGACUUUUUAAGGUUGACCUCGAAUCAGGUAGGACUACCCGCUGA